GAAAUGCGAUACGUAAUGUGAAUUGCAGAAUUCCGUGAAUCAUUGAAUCUUUGAACGCACCUUGCGCCCCUUGGCUAUUCCGAGGGGCAUGCCUGUUUGAGUGUCAUUGUUAACUCUUCUCAACUUUGGCUUUUGAUUCAAAGGCCCAAAGCUUGGACAGUGGGGGGGUGUUGCUGGCUCGGGUCGGCUCCUCUGAAAAGAAUUAGCGAAAGUGAAACGUACCUUGUUCCUGCAAUCUCUUGCUUCUGGCAUUGAUAGUUGUCCAUGCCUGCUGCAUCCUGGGGGGUUGCCUUUAAAUUGGGAUGGGCGCGAUUCUCGCUUACAGUUGUCUUCGGACCUUUUGAACGCAUCACCUCAAAUCAGGUAGGACUACCCGCUGAACUUAA
rnacentral:rRNA from 1 species